rnacentral:rRNA from 2 species
UAGUGGCAGACGGGUGAGUAAUGUAUAGGAAUCUACCUAGUAGUACGGAAUAAUUGUUGGAAACGGCAACUAAUACCGUAUACGCCCUACGGGGGAAAAAUUUAUUGCUAUUAGAUGAGCCUAUAUUAGAUUAGCUAGUUGGUGGAGUAAUAGCCUACCAAGGCAAUGAUCUAUAGCUGAUCUGAGAGGAUGAUCAGCCACACUGGAACUGAGAUACGGUCCAGACUCCUACGGGAGGCAGCAGUGGGGAAUAUUGGACAAUGGGCGAAAGCCUGAUCCAGCCAUGCCGCAUGAGUGAAGAAGGCCUUUGGGUUGUAAAGCUCUUUUAGUGAGGAAGAUAAUGACGGUACUCACAGAAGAAGUCCUGGCUAACUCCGUGCCAGCAGCCGCGGUAAUACGGAGAGGGCUAGCGUUAUUCGGAAUUAUUGGGCGUAAAGGGCGCGUAGGCGGAUUAGUAAGUUAAAAGUGAAAUCCCAAGGCUCAACCUUGGAAUUGCUUUUAAAACUGCUAAUCUAGAGAUUGAAAGAGGAUAGAGGAAUUCCUAGUGUAGAGGUGAAAUUCGUAAAUAUUAGGAGGAACACCAGUGGCGAAGGCGUCUAUCUGGUUCAAAUCUGACGCUGAGGCGCGAAGGCGUGGGGAGCAAACAGGAUUAGAUACCCUGGUAGUCCACGCUGUAAACGAUGAAUGUUAAAUAUGGGAAGUUUUACUUUCUGUAUUACAGCUAACGCGUUAAACAUUCCGCCUGGGGACUACGGUCGCAAGAUUAAAACUCAAAGGAAUUGACGGGGACCCGCACAAGCGGUGGAGCAUGUGGUUUAAUUCGAUGCAACGCGAAAAACCUUACCACUCCUUG